rnacentral:lncRNA from 1 species
CCGCGCUGUGCUCUUGGAUCUGGAGCCCGGCAUCAUGGACUCUGUGCCCUUCGGGCGAAUCUUCAGGCCGGACAACUUCAUCUUCGGUCAGAGUGGUGCAGCGAACAACCGGGCCAAGGCACACUAGUGGCCCACUACUAUUACAGAAGGCUCAGAGCUGGUGGAGUCAGUGAUGGAUGUUGCGAGGAAGGAGGCUAAGAGCUGUGAGUGCCUUCAGGGUUUCCAGCUGACCCACUCCCUGGGUGGGGGGACUGGAUCUGGGAUGGAUACCCUUCUCAUCAGCAAGAUCUGGGAGGAGUACCCAGACAAAUCAUGAACACAUUCAGCAUUCUUCCCUAGCCCAAGGUGUCGAACACAGUGGGCCACCCUCUCAGUCCACCACCUCAUAAAAAAAACAUAGACAAAACACAGACAUUUUGCAUUGAUAAUGAAGCUCUCUAUGACAUCUGCUUGAGAACUCUAAAGCUGCCCACAUCCACCUAUGGUGACCUGAACCACCUGGUUUCUCCCACCAGGAGUGGGGUCACUCCCUGCCUGUGCUUCCCCAGCCAGCUAAAUGCUGACCUACAGAAACUGGCUGAGAACAUGGUCUCAUUUCCCUGCCUGUACUUCUUCAUGCCUGGCUUUACCCUGCUGACCAGCCAGGGUAGCCACCAUUACUGGGCCUGAUGGUGGCUGAGCUCACCGAGCAGAUGUUUCAUUGCCAAGAACAUGAUGGCUUCUUGCAACCUCCACCAUGGUUGCUACCUAAUGAUGGCUGCCAUUUUCAGGGUCCACAUGUCCAUGAAAGAGAUGGACAAGCAAAUGUUUAACAUCCAAAAAGAGCACAGCAGCUAUGUUGCUGAUUGGCUCCCCCACAAUGUGAAAUUGGUUGUCUGUGACAUCCCACCCCACCCCGGGGCUAACUAAAAAUGUCUGCCACCUUCAUGGUCAGCAACACAGCCAUCCAG